rnacentral:rRNA from 1 species
CCCUUAGAUGUUCUCGGCCGCACGCGCGCUACACUGAAAGAGGCAACGUGUUUGCCUGAUUCGAAAGAAUUGGGUAACCCCCUAAUCUCUUUCGUGCUGGGGAUUGAGGUUUGCAAUUAUCCUUCAUGAACGAGGAAUUCCCAGUAAGUGCGAGUCAUUAUCUCGCGCUGACUACGUCCCUGCCCUUUGUACACACCGCCCGUCGCUACUACCGAUUGAAUGAUUUAGUGAGGACUUCGGACUGAGUCCAAUGCGGCUUUCGGGCUGCGUUGGUAUUUCGGAAAGAUGUCCAAACUGUAUCAUUUAGAGGAAGUAAAAGUCGUAACA